rnacentral:rRNA from 2 species
GUCACACCCGUUCCCAUCCCGAACACGGUAGUUAAGCUUCUCUGCGCCAAUGGUAGUUGGGGGCUUCCCCCUGCGAGAGUAGGUCGCUGCCGGGC